UACGGAGGAUCCGAGCGUUAUCCGGAUUUAUUGGGUUUAAAGGGAAGCGUAGGCGGGUUGUUAAGUCAGUUGUGAAAGUUUGCGGCUCAACCGUGAAAAUUGCAGUUGAUACCUGGACAUCCUUGAGUACAGUAGAGGUAGGCGGAAUUCGUGGUGUAGCGGUGAAAUGCUUAGAUAUCACGAAGAACUCCGAUUGCGAAGGCAGCCUGCUGGACUGUAACUGACGCUGAUGCUCGAAAGUGUGGGUAUCGAAACAAGGAGUUAGUAAACCCAUAGAU
rnacentral:rRNA from 1 species